CAGUCGCCGCGGGAACACGAAGGGGGCUAGCGUUGUUCGGAAUUACUGGGCGUAAAGGGCGCGUAGGCGGCCAUUCAAGUUAGAUGUGAAAGCCCUGGGCUCAACCUAGGAAUUGCAUUUGAUACUGUUUGGCUUGAGUUCGGGAGAGGUGAGUGGAAUUCCCAGUGUAGAGGUGAAAUUCGUAGAUAUUGGGAAGAACACCAGUGGCGAAGGCGGCUCACUGGACCGACACUGACGCUGAGGCGCGAAAGCGUGGGGAGCAAACAGGAUUAGAUACCCCCGUAGUCCCUGUCUCUUAUAC
rnacentral:rRNA from 1 species